GACGAACGCUGGCGGCGUGCUUAACACAUGCAAGUCGAACGGUGAAGGGACUGGUUUUGCUGGUCCUGGAUGAGUGGCGAACGGGUGAGUAACACGUGAGUAACCUGCCCCCUUCUUCUGGAUAACCGCAUGAAAGUGUGGCUAAUACGGGAUAUUCUGGGUCUGUCGCAUGGUGGGCCUGGGAAAGAUUGCGCCUUUUUUGGUGUUUUUGGUGGGGGAUGGGCUCGCGGCCUAUCAGCUUGUUGGUGGGGUGAUGGCCUACCAAGGCGGUGACGGGUAGCCGGCCUGAGAGGGUGGACGGUCACACUGGGACUGAGACACGGCCCAGACUCCUACGGGAGGCAGCAGUGGGGAAUAUUGCACAAUGGGCGCAAGCCUGAUGCAGCGACGCCGCGUGAGGGAUGGAGGCCUUCGGGUUGUGAACCUCUUUCGCCAGUGAAGCAGGCCUGCCUCGUUUUUGGGUGG
rnacentral:rRNA from 1 species